UACGUAGGGUGCAAGCGUUGUCCGGAAUUAUUGGGCGUAAAGAGCUCGUAGGCGGUUUGUCGCGUCUGCCGUGAAAGUCCGGGGCUCAACUCCGGAUCUGCGGUGGGUACGGGGCAGACUAGAGUGAUGUAGGGGGAGACUGGAAUUCCUGGUGUAGCGGUGAAAAUGCGCAGAUAUCAGGAGGAACACCGAUGGCGAAGGCAGGUCCU
rnacentral:rRNA from 1 species